GGAGGUCCAGGCAUCUACAGGGCACCCCAUCGCGGCCAAGCCUCCCGGUCCUCCUGUAGGAAGAGAUCUUCUACAGCCUGUAUUUAUAUUCAGACCCAUUUUUAUCCCAAUUACUGUAUAAGCUAUAGGGUUCUCACUAUUUGGUUAAACCCCGCCCUGAACUCCACUGCUGAAGUGAUCUCCUGCCUCAGUCUCCUCAAGAAGUUGGAACUGCAGGUGCCAUCGUGGGCAGAAGUUGUUUGCUUCUGAAAGGUGGAAAUAAAACUAGGCAAUGUCUGGCUGUGGGAUUUUGCUGUUUAACAACUAACCUGUAUUGCCCUGUGAGACG
ensembl:lncRNA